UACGUAGGGUGCGAGCGUUGUCCGGAAUUAUUGGGCGUAAAGAGCUCGUAGGCGGUGUGUCACGUCGGCCGUGAAAACCUGCAGCUUAACUGUGGGCGUGCGGUCGAUACGGGCAUCACUGGAGUUCGGCAGGGGAGACUGGAAUUCCUGGUGUAGCGGUGAAAUGCGCAGAUAUCAGGAGGAACACCGAAGGCGAAGGCAGCUUACUGGGCCGAUACUGACGCUGAGGAGCGAAAGCGUGGGGAGCGAACAGG
rnacentral:rRNA from 1 species